AGUGGGGAGCCCCAGCUGUAGUGACCCUAGGAGUCCGUCGUGCAGGUGGUGACUGACUCACUCCCAACUCAGAAUUUCCAGAGCUCCCAAUCCUCAUUCAGACAACAGAGACCUUUUUGUGACUGGAUAAUGUGAACCUCCAUUCACAGUGAGAAGCAUUCUCUUCUCAGACUUCUGGCAACUUAGAGCUCUUGGUCUGUUUUGGCCUGCAGAUAUGGAUAUGGAUGAGGUUAACAGAGAGGAAUGAUCCAGGCUGUACCAAUAUGGAGAAAAGAAGAAAGGAAAGAAGAUAAGAAAAUACAAAAAUUCAAAAUCUAAAGGAAAGCAUGAUUAUAAUCAUAAUUUUGCAUUUAUAAAAUUUAGGUAUAAUGGUUGAUGAAUCAAUUUAUAAAAUAAAAGACUAGAAAUGCA